rnacentral:rRNA from 1 species
GCUUGGCCGUUAACCUAGGCCCACCCCACUACACAUGGGCCCGCCAGAGAAUUACAAGUGAAAACUUGAAACUCCAAGGACUUGACGGUCCCCCACACCAAACUAGAGGAGCCUGUCCUAUAAUCGAUGACCCACGCUUUACCUUACCUCCCCUGGCCACUAGUCAGCCUAUAUACCGCCGUCGUCAGCCAACCUCGUGAGAGACAUAAAGUUGGCCAAACCGUCCAAACCACAAAAACGUCAGGUCAAGGUGUAGCUAAUGGGGAGGCCAGAGAUGGGCUACAUUCUCUAAUAUAGAGCACACACCACGGCCGCAUAUGAAACCCUGCCAGUAAGGUGGAUUUAGAAGUAAAUAGGGCAAGAUGUUUAAGCCCUCUUGAAGCCUGCUCUGGGUGGCGU